CCUACGGGAGGCAGCAGUGAGGAAUAUUGGUCAAUGGACGAAAGUCUGAACCAGCCAAGUAGCGUGAAUGAUGACUGCCCUAGGUGUUGUAAACUUCUUUUAUAUGGGAAUAAAACGUUCCACGUGUGGGAUUUUGUAUGUAUCAUAUCAAUACGGCUCGGCUAACACGAGGCCAGCAGCCCCGGUAAUACGGAGGCUCCGAGAGUUAUCCGGAUGCAUUGGGUUUAAAGGGUGCGUAGGUUGUUUUAUAAGUUAGCGGUGAAAUACCGAGGCUCAACCUCGGGGCUGCCGGUAAUACUGUAGGACUAGAGAGCGGAUGCAGCAGGCGGAAUGUGUGGUGUAGCGGUGAAAUGCAUAGAUAUUACGAAGAACACCGAUUGCGAAGGCAGCUUGCUGGGCCGGAACUGACACUGAUGCACGAAAGCGUGGGGAUCGAACAGGAUUAGAUACCCGUGUAGUC
rnacentral:rRNA from 1 species